rnacentral:rRNA from 1 species
UACGAAGGGGGGCUAGCGUUGCUCGGAAUCACUGGGCGUAAAGCGCACGUAGGCGGAUUGUCAAGUCAGGGGGUGAAAUCCUGGAGCUCAACUCCAGAACUGCCUUUGAUACUGGCGACUUGUAGUCCGGGGAGAGGUGAGUGGAACUGCGAGUGUAGAGGUGAAAAUUCGUAGAUAUUCGGAAGAACACCAGUGGCGAAGGCGAC